CCUACGGGAGGCAGCAGUGAGGAAUAUUGGUCAAUGGGCGCAAGCCUGAACCAGCCAAGUCGCGUGAGGGAUGACGGUCCUAUGGAUUGUAAACCUCUUUUGUCGGGGAGCAAGGCCCGCCACGUGUGGCGGGAAGGAGAGUACCCGAAGAAAAAGCAUCGGCUAACUCCGUGCCAGCAGCCGCGGUAAUACGGAGGAUGCGAGCGUAAUCCGGAUUUAUUGGGUUUAAAGGGUGCGAAGGGGGAAGGUUAAGUCAGCGGUAAAAUGUCGGUGCUAAACACAGGCCUGCCGUUGAAACUGGUCUUCUUGAGUGAGCGAGAAGUAGGCGGAAUGCGUGGUGUAGCGGUGAAAUGCAUAGAUAUCACGAAGAACUCCGAUUGCGAAGGCAGCAUACCGGCGCUCAACUGACGCUGAGGCACGAAAGCGUGGGGAUCGAACAGGAUUAGAUACCCUGGUAGUC
rnacentral:rRNA from 1 species